GACAGAGGGUGCAAACGUUGUUCGGAUUCACUGGGUUUAAAGGGUGCGUAGGCGGGCAGGUAAGUCAGUGGUGAAAUCUCCGGGCUUAACCCGGAACUGCCGUUGAUACUAUCUGUCUUGAAUAUAGUGGAGGUGAGCGGAAUAUGUCAUGUAGCGGUGAAAUGCUUAGAUAUGACAUAGAACACCCAUUGCGAAGGCAGCUCGCUACACUAUCAUUGACGCUGAGGCACGAAAGCGUGGGGAUCAAACAGG
rnacentral:rRNA from 1 species